rnacentral:lncRNA from 1 species
GCCACCACAUGUUAUUAAUAAUUUGUAGAGGCAAAUCUUCAAAAUAUUUUUGUAACUGGCCUUGGAGAAAUAUCAAAUAAUCUUAUGCAUUCAAGCGGGCGGGUAGAACGUAUGGACCAAGCAAGUGGUCGCCGACAAUGCCAGCCUAAACAUUAACAAAAAACUUCGUUUGAUAUCCUCGGACAUGCAUGGCAUGCGAGCUCUCUUCCGACCAGAAGUGGUUGUUGUGGGCGUUGAACAUACCUUCUCUAGAAAAGCCCUUUUCGUCGGUGGAACAAACAUACCGCAGGAAAUCAGGAUUUUCCCCAAUGCGUUUGUUUAACCACUGGCAGUAGUGAAGGCGCCCAGGGGAAUCGUCAGGAAAGAGAUGUUGAACUUUCUUCAAUUUAAAUGGGUGUAAAUUGUUGUAGUGAAAGAUAUUCCAUACCGUCCCGUGGCUGCAACCCACUUUAGAAGCGACCUGACGAAUGCUCUUUUGGGGCAAUACGUGCCAUUACAGCAUCUUCAAGUCCAUCACGUGCUAGACGCAGUCGUCCUCGCUCCUGCUGUACAGGGUGUGUCAAAUUCGAGCCACAUCAUUGGGAUUUCGGAAACGUAGCGAACAACGUGAUAUGGUCCAAAUUUACUAUUCUUUGAAUAGAAAUUCGCAACGCUCCUGCCAACAAUAUCUGGAGCAAUAUCCAGAGCGCCCCCAACCUAAUUAUACGUAUUUCGGAGCUUUGGACAGGAACCUUAGCCUCUAUGGAAGUUUCACUAAACCUCGAAAUAUGUAUGGGACUCGAGUGCAUCCUGAAACCGAGCAGGCGAUUAUUAAUGCUGUUACCCAAAAUCCGCAAGGUUCAACCAGACAAUUUUCCCGUGAAUUGAAUAUGCCAAGUACCCGUAUCCACAGAGUAUUGAGAAAAAAUCGCUAUCGCCCCUAUAAACUUCAUAUCAGUCAAGAACUUAGGCAUGGAGAUACCGAUAGAAGGCUUCAGUUUUGCAAUUGAUUGAACGAAAAACUGCAAGAUGAUGAAGACUUUUUAAACAAAAUAAUUUGGACAGAUGAAUGUUACUUUUCGACUAACGGGCUAUUUAAUCGGAAUAAUGAACAUUUUUAUUCAGUCGAAAAUCCGAGACAAAACCGCGAAGUAAGAAGACAGGGGCAUAAUUCUUUCAAUGUUUGGGUGGGUCUUUACAGGAAUCGAAUUUUGGGACCUAUUAUAUACGACGGUAAUUUAACUGCUGAGCGCUAUUUAGAUUUAAUUCUGCCAAAUAUAUUCGAUGUUCUUGAAAAUGAACCUCUUGAUAUUAUCCGCGAUUUGUGGUGGCAGCAGGAUGGUGCACCACCCCAUAAUGGAAGGAAUGUCACACGAUUUUUAAAUCAUAAUUUUCCUAAUCAGUGGAUUGGAAAUCAAGGGGUGGUGCGCUGGCCAGCUAGAAGUCCCGAUCUUUCCCCGUUGGAUUAUUUUUUUUGGGGCUAUUUAAAGAACAGACUAAGAACACCCCAAAUGAUAUAAACAUUUUACGUGCAAAUUUAUUGACAGAAUUAAGGGGUAUACGAGCCAGGACUAUCCAGCGGGCAGUGUCUGGAAAUUUACGUAGAAGGAUACAGAAAUGUAUUGAGGUGCAGGGUCAACUAUUUGAAUAUUUACUUUAAACUUAAAAUAUUGCAUUUUUUUGCAUUAAGUUC